AAGAUCACAGAGUGCAAGGUUGGCAUGCACGGUUCUGUUUUUACUGCAAAUAACAAAAGGGAGGUGAUGUGAUAUUAGAGUGUGUCAGUCUGUAAAUGGAUCUGCAUGAAAUGAUAUUCAAGCAAGAAGCCACUACAUAUUCUCAACCUUAAUCUUGGAAAAAAAAAUCACUGACUGAAUCUCUCACCUCCUGAAGCCCAACGGAUAAUUACUGUGCUGGAGAACUAAUUUGCCUACUGAAUGAGAAAAAUUGGUCACCAUAGAACCAGAAAACUCAAAAGAACCUUCUGAGGUCAUCAGAACAUCGAUUGGCCAGAGCAGUGCAGCCUCCUGCCCAUCACUUCCCUCUCUCUGAACGUGGUCUCUGUGAACUGGGAUUUUGGAAGUGGAUAUGCAGGAUUGAUUACUGGGGAGAAUUUUCCCCAAGGAACAGGAAGAAACAGUCUCUUAUGUAACUGCUCAGAAAGGAGGCUUAAAGAAGAUACUAGUUCCUUGGAGUCUGUCCUCUACAGAUGAGAACCACUACCUGGUAGGCACGGAGAAUUCUGAGGAGUUGCCAGACUCUAGUUCAGAUACUGCCUCUAAUCAGCCUGUGGCCAGGGGUGGGUUAACAGCCUCUUCUCAGGUAUAUCAUUUCCAUCAAAAGCAGCCUGUUCUUUCCUCCCACUCCAACAGAGAAACUGCUUCCAAC